rnacentral:lncRNA from 1 species
CGGGCUUCUCCGAGCUUAAAUCCGGAGCCGGAGCUUUUUGUGGGACUGCACAGCGAAGCUGCCUGUGGGAAUGACCCGGCUAUUGCUCGGUGUACUCCUAACGACAGUGUCUUUUACUCCGUGUUCCCAGGCUGCCUCUUUCCCUUCGGUCGCCGUGGACACUGUGCCGGACGCCUCUGGCAGGACUAACCCUGUGGCUUUUACGUCCAACGUGCUGUGCUGUGUGUGCCUGCAGCAUCCUGUACAAGACAAAGCUACCUUUCUUUCCUCGUGGGAAUGGACCGGCCGGGCUUUGGCAAUCUGGCCCCUCGAAAGACUAAGUGACCUCUUCCAGCAGGGGAAGACUGAAGCAAGGGGUGCCAGGAAGAACUGGAGUUUCUGGAGAAUAAAAGCUGGAAGCGUGCCCCUGAAAGUCCCCAGCCCUGGGUGGUCGGUGGUCUGACUUGCACGGACCGGUGGCCUUGGCCAGGAGCGGUCCUGCCGGCUUGUAAUUUGAAUUUCCUGCCCAGGCUGUAAUUUUAAUUUCCACUGGGUGCUGGCAAAGCCCCCCUGGGGGUGAGCCCCGGUGCCUGGCAGGAGCGGAGCGGGCUUGCGGGGCCCUCCUGGCAGGCGUUGUGUUUAAGGGAAGGGCAGGGGAGCCUUUCUGCGUCCCAGAGGAGCUUCAGUGUUCUUUCUUCCUCUCUGGAGGACUAAGAACUAAAAAAAAUAAAAACCAAACGAGAAAGGAAAGGAGAAAGGAA